rnacentral:sRNA from 1 species
UUGAUGAUCGUAUUUUAGUGUCAGGCG